GCUUACGGCCAUACCACCCUGAGAACGCCCGAUCUUGUCUGAUCUCGGAAGCUAAACAUGGUCGGGCCUGGUUAGUACUUGGAUGGGAGACCGCCUGGGAAUACCAGGUGCUGUAAGCU
rnacentral:rRNA from 1 species